rnacentral:lncRNA from 1 species
UGAGAAGCUAGUGUAGAAGCCUAGCAGUUGUAAUUAUGCUGCUGGUCCUGAGGCUGGCCUAGAGUUGGCAACAAGAAGUCAUUUAAUUCCAUCAAUUUGUCCCCCCUUCUUUCCAAAAAACAUUCAUUGACGUCCUCUGGGAGUGAGUGAUGGUACUAGACAUUGAACAUACGAAGUUGAAAUUGACUAAGAUACACAGAUUCAUUACCUCAAAACCCCCAUACCAAUCAUCUAGGGACACAUGGAAUGAAUUAAAGAAAAAAAAAAAAAGAAGAAAAAAUUUCAGUUUUACUCAAAAGUAUCCAAUCUUGAAUCUCUUAGUCAAAACUAAGGAGAAUCUACGUUAAUAUGAAAAGUAAAUGAAAUCCAGCCAAGAUAAUCAAGAAAAAAAUCCACUAUAAACAAAAUCAAAGAACAAGUGAUAUACUGGGAGAAAAUAUUUUUGCAACAUAUGCCACAGACAAAGGACGCGUGGCAUAUAUAGAAACAACCAACCAACCAUCAAGAGUACAAGAAGCUAACAUUCAGUGGAAACCUACUCUGGCUAGCUUCAGGGUAUCUCUCCAAUUUCCAAUCCCAUCCUGAUCAUGGUCCUCAUGGAUGCCUCCUGAUGCCAGAUGAAAUCAAUCACAUGAAAUAAACAAAAUGCCUACAGAAUGAUGUCAAUGGCACCACUCAUCAGAUAGCAAGCUGCAUUAUGAAGUAACAGAUGAGGUCUUUCCGGCCUUGAAUGCCUUCUGCUCAACCUUUGUCUGCACUUUAAGAGCAACUUCAGUCUUCAUCUCAGUCAGGAUGCCCUCCAUGUCAACAGCAUACGGGGGUGAGGGAUGAGGAAGGAGCAGACUGUGAUGACUAUCACCAUUUGAGUUUUAUUCUGCUAUAUGCCACUUUUCUAUCAAGUAACCCGAGGAAACACCUUAUAGGAAUAGCUCUCAAGACGUGGUUCCUGGGCCAGCAGCACCUGGCAGCUCGUUAGAGAUGGAUUUUCAGAAAAUGAAUGACCUGCCUCAUCCAAGUGGGCAGACUUCAUGACUGCCUCAGUUUCCACAUAGAUUCUCGGAGCAGAAGACAUCUCAUCAUCUGGUAG